AGGUUGGCAUAACCUGCCCUGAUUGGCUGAUUUAUUUUUGGGUCAAUAAAAUAGGUGUGUCACUUUUUAGAAGAAUCAGCAAAAGUACAUUUUUGGAUUUCCUAGGGAACGGAGGUUUUAGUUAGCCACGCCCACAUUCCUUCUAUGUUAUGUAAUUUCGUUCUUGACCCAAAGAUUCAUGUUUUAAAUUUUAACAAUAUUUUGGGAAAGAAUGUGAGAGCAGCAGCGGAACGCCACAACAACGAGCUCGCCACGCUUAAAGUCUACAAAUUUAAAACCAACAUUUCUUCCCACUUCUAACGGUGGCUGAGAACCGCCAUCGCAGAAAAACAAAA